UUUUCAUCAAUGGCCGCGGUACUUUGACCGUGCUAAGGUAGCGCAAUCAAUUGGCUUUUAAUUGGAGCCAGGUAUGAAUGGAAUUACGGGGUUUAGCUGUCUCACAUUUAAUUUAUUGAAGUUACUAUGCAGGUGAAAAAGCCUGUGUAAAGAAAAAGGACGAGAAGACCCUUAGAGUUUUACCUAAAUCAAAAUAUUUUUUGAUACAGUUUAGUUGGGGCAACAUAGGAACAGAAAACCUCCUAAAUCAAACUAACCGAUUUUUAUAAAGUUGAAUAAACUACCUUAGGGAUAACAGCAUAAUUUUAUUAAUAAGUUUGUGACCUCGAUGUUGGACUAGGAAACUAGAAGGCUAGCCGCCUUUUAGGUAAGUUCUGUUCGAACUAUUAUUCCU
rnacentral:rRNA from 1 species